rnacentral:pre_miRNA from 1 species
AAUAAGUGCAGUUUUACACUAUUCACGUUCAACGUUUGACCGUCCGUCUUAUUUGAAAAUUUUUUAUGAUUAGUAUUUUUAUUGCUAUUAGAUGAUAAAACAUGAAUAGUACUUUAUGUGUGACUAAAUGUUUUUAAUUUUUCCACAAAUUUUUUAAAUAAGACGGACGGUCAAACGUUGAACGUGAAUAAUGCAAAACUGCACUUAUU